GAUGAACGCUGGCGGCGUGCCUAAUACAUGCAAGUCGAGCGAACAGAUGAGGAGCUUGCUCCUCUGACGUUAGCGGCGGACGGGUGAGUAACACGUGGAUAACCUACCUAUAAGACUGGGAUAACUUCGGGAAACCGGAGCUAAUACCGGAUAAUAUAUUGAACCGCAUGGUUCAAUAGUGAAAGACGGUUUUGCUGUCACUUAUAGAUGGAUCCGCGCCGCAUUAGCUAGUUGGUAAGGUAACGGCUCACCAAGGCAACGAUGCGUAGCCGACCUGAGAGGGGGAGUGGGCCACAAGGGAAGGGAGCCCGGUGCAACACCCGUGGGGGGGGCAGAAGGGGGACAUCUCCCGCAGGGGGAAAGAGCCUGACGAAGCACCGCCGGGGGAGUGAUGAGGUUCUGGGGAUCGUAACCCUUUUUUAUGGGGAAAAAAAAAAUGUAAAAGAAAAUAUCCACGUCUGGAGGGUACUAAAAGAAAAAGCCGCGCCUAACUACGC
rnacentral:rRNA from 1 species